rnacentral:rRNA from 1 species
ACUUUCAACAACGGAUCUCUUGGCUCUCGCAUCGAUGAAGAACGCAGCGAAAUGCGAUACGUAAUGUGAAUUGCAGAAUUCAGUGAAUCAUCGAAUCUUUGAACGCACCUUGCGCCCCUUGGCAUUCCGAGGGGCACACCCGUUUGAGUGUCAUGAAAU